AUUGGAUCUGAGAGCUGGAGAUCGGAUGGCUCAUCGCCGACUGAGAUGCCACUUCCGCCGCCUCCGGAGAGGCGGUCGCGGUCGUCUUCGCCGAAUUCGGAAUCUGCGUCGCCGGCGGCGGCGUGGUGGAAGGAGGAGGAGGAUGAGCCAGCGUUAUCGGUAGUGAGGGCGUCUUCCUCGAUCGGAGAAGUAUGGCCGAGUAAGAUGUUACGGAACUCGUCUU
rnacentral:lncRNA from 1 species